AUCUGCCCCGAACUGGGGAAUAGCUUCGGGAAACCGAAGGUAAUACCCCAUAGUCCUCACUUUUUGUGAGGUAAAGGAUGUAACUGUUCGGUUUGGGAUGAGCCUAUGUCCUAUCAGGUAGUUGGUGAGGUAACGGCUCACCAAGCCUAUGACGGGUAGCUGGCCUCAUGAGGGUGGUCAGCCAGAGGGGGACUGAGACACGGCCCCCACUCCUACGGGAGGCAGCAAUUAGGAAUAGUCGGCAAUGGGCGAAAGCCUGACCGCGCAAUGCCGCGUGUAGGAAGACGCUCUAACGAGUGUAAACUACUGUGGCGAGGGAAGAAGUCUUCGGAUUGACGGUACCUCGCUAGAAAGGGGCCGCUAACUGCGUGCCAGAAGCGUCGGUAAGACGUGGGCCCCGAGCGUUAUCCGGUGUUACUGGGCGUAAAGAGUCGUGUAGGCGGUUCGAAAAGUUACCUUUUAAAUCCCAAUGCUCAACAUUGGAACUGGAGGUAAUACUCUCGAACUAGAGUUUUCUACGGGGUGAAUGGAACUGUGGGAGGAGUAGUGAAAUGCGUUGAUCCCCACGGGAACACCAGCGGCGAAGGCGGUUCACUGGUAGAAGACUGACGCUGAGACACGAAAGCUAGGGUAUCGAAGCAGAUUAGAGACCUGCGUAGUCCUAGCCGUAAACGCAUGCUUGCUAGCUGCAUUUCCGCCCCUUCGGGGGUUAGGUGUGGCGAAGGUAACCCGUUAAGCAAGCCGCCUGGGGAUUACGGUCGCAAGACUAAAACUCAAAGGAAUUGGCGGGGAGGCACACAACCAGUGGAACAUGUGGUUUAAUUCGAAACAAACCGAAGAACCUCACCUGGGUUUGACAUGUAGCUGCUCAUCCUAUGAAAGUAGGACUCCUUCGAGGGUGCUACACAGGUGCUGCAUGGCUGUCGUCAGUUCGUUCCGUGAGGAGUGCCCUUAAGU
rnacentral:rRNA from 1 species